AGAGUUUGAUCCUGGCUCAGAGCAAACGCUGGCGGCAGGCUUAACACAUGCAAGUCGAGCGCCCCGCAAGGGGAGCGGCAGACGGGUGAGUAACACGUGGGGAUCUGCCCAAUGGUACGGAAUAACUCAGGGAAACUUGUGCUAAUACCGUAUGUGCCCGCAAGGGGAAAGAUUUAUCGCCAUUGGAUGAACCCGCGUCGGAUUAGCUAGUUGGUGUGGUAAGGGCGCACCAAGGCGACGAUCCGUAGCUGGCCUGAGAGGAUGAUCAGCCACACUGGGACUGAGACACGGCCCAGACUCCUACGGGAGGCAGCAGUGGGGAAUAUUGGACAAUGGGCGCAAGCCUGAUCCAGCCAUGCCGCGUGAGUGAUGAAGGCCUUAGGGUUGUAAAGCUCUUUCGCCGACGAAGAUAAUGACGGUAGUCGGAGAAGAAGCCCCGGCUAACUUCGUGCCAGCAGCCGCGGUAAU
rnacentral:rRNA from 1 species